GACGAACGCUGGCGGCGUGCUUAACACAUGCAAGUCGAGCGGUAAGGCCCUUUCGGGGGUACACGAGCGGCGAACGGGUGAGUAACACGUGGGUGACCUGCCCUCAGCUCUGGGAUAAGCCUGGGAAACUGGGUCUAAUACUGGAUAUGACUCCACGGUGCAUGUCGUGGGGUGGAAAGCCUUGUGCGGCUGAGGAUGGGCCCGCGGCCUAUCAGCUUGUUGGUGGGGUGANGGGCCUACCAAGGCGACGACGGGUAGCCGGCCUGAGAGGGCGACCGGCCACACUGGGACUGAGACACGGCCCAGACUCCUACGGGAGGCAGCAGUGGGGAAUCUUGCGCAAUGGGCGAAAGCCUGAACGCAGCGACGCCGCGUGAGGGAUGACGGCCU
rnacentral:rRNA from 1 species